rnacentral:rRNA from 1 species
GACGAACGCUGGCGGCGUGCUUAACACAUGCAAGUCGAACGGAAAGGCCCUGCUUUUGUGGGGUGCUCGAGUGGCGAACGGGUGAGUAACACGUGAGUAACCUGCCCUUGACUUUGGGAUAACUUCAGGAAACUGGGGCCAAUACCGGAUAGGAGCUCCUGCUGCAUGGUGGGGGUUGGAAAGUUUCGGCGGUUGGGGAUGGACUCGCGGCUUAUCAGCUUGUUGGUGGGGUAGUGGCUUACCAAGGCUUUGACGGGUAGCCGGCCUGAGAGGGUGACCGGCCACAUUGGGACUGAGAUACGGCCCAGACUCCUACGGGAGGCAGCAGUGGGAAUAUUGCACAAUGGGCGGAAGCCUGAUGCAGCAACGCCGCGUGCGGGAUGACGGCCUUCGGGUUGUAAACCGCUUUCGCCUGUGACGAAGCGUGAGUGACGGUAAUGGGUAAAGAAGCACCGGCUAACUACGUGCCAGCAGCCGCGGUGAUACGUAGGGUGCGAGCGUUGUCCGGAUUUAUUGGGCGUAAAGGGCUCGUAGGUGGUUGAUCGCGUCGGAAGUGUAAUCUUGGGGCUUAACCCUGAGCGUGCUUUCGAUACGGGUUGACUUGAGGAAGGUAGGGGAGAAUGGAAUUCCUGGUGGAGCGGUGGAAUGCGCAGAUAUCAGGAGGAACACCAGUGGCGAAGGCGGUUCUCUGGGCCUUUCCUGACGCUGAGGAGCGAAAGCGUGGGGAGCGAACAGGCUUAGAUACCCUGGUAGUCCACGCUGUAAACGGUGGGUACUAGGUGUGGGGUCCAUUCCACGGGUUCCGUGCCGUAGCUAACGCUUUAAGUACCCCGCCUGGGGAGUACGGCCGCAAGGCUAAAACUCAAAGGAAUUGACGGGGCCCCGCACAAGCGGCGGAGCAUGCGGAUUAAUUCGAUGCAACGCGUAGAACCUUACCUGGGUUUGACAUGGAUCGGGAGUGCUCAGAGAUGGGUGUGCCUCUUUUGGGGUCGGUUCACAGGUGGUGCAUGCCUGUCGUCAGCUCGUGUCGUGAGAUGUUGGGUUAAGUCCCGCAACGAGCGCAACCCUUGUUCACUGUUGCCAGCACGUUAUGGUGGGGACUCAGUGGAGACCGCCGGGGUCAACUCGGAGGAAGGUGGGGAUGACGUCAAGUCCUCAUGCCCCUUAUGUCCAGGGCUUCACGCAUGCUACAAUGGCUGGUACAGAGAGUGGCGAGCCUGUGAGGGUGAGCGAAUCUCGGAAAGCCGGUCUCAGUUCGGAUUGGGGUCUGCAACUCGACCUCAUGAAGUCGGAGUCGCUAGUAAUCGCAGAUCAGCAACGCUGCGGUGAAUACGUUCCCGGGGCU